rnacentral:rRNA from 1 species
GACGAACCGUGCGAACGUUGUUCGGAAUCACUGGGCUUAAAGGGCGCGUAGGCGGGCGGUCCAGUCAGGGGUGAAAUCUUUCGGCUUAACCGGAAAAGUGCCUCUGAUACUGACCACCUCGAGGGGUGUAGGGGCGUGCGGAACUAAUGGUGGAGCGGUGAAAUGCGUAGAUAUCAUUAGGAACGCCGGUGGCGAAAGCGGCGCGCUGGACACCUUCUGACGCUGAGGCGCGAAAGCCAGGGGAGCAAACGGG